CCUACGGGUGGCAGCAGUGGGGAAUAUUGCACAAUGGGGGAAACCCUGAUGCAGCGACGCCGCGUGAGUGAAGAAGUAUCUCGGUACGUAAAGCUCUAUCAGCAGGGAAGAAAAUGACGGUACCUGAAUAAGAAGCUCCGGCUAACUACGUGCCAGCAGCCGCGGUAAUACGUAGGGGGCCAGCGUAAUCCGGAUUUACUGGGUGUAAAGGGAGCGUAGACGGCAGCACAAGUCAGGAGUGAAAUCCCGGGGCUUAAUCCCGGAAUUGCUGUGGAAACUGUGCGGCUGGAGUGCAGGAGGGGUGAGCGGAAUUCCUGGUGUAGCGGUGAAAUGCGUAGAUAUUACGAGGAACCCCGGUGGCGAAGGCGGCUUACUUGACUGUAACUGACGUUGAGGCUCGAAAGCGUGGGGAGCAAACAGGAUUAGAUACCCCUGUAGUC
rnacentral:rRNA from 1 species